rnacentral:rRNA from 1 species
CCCUUAGAUGUUCUGGGCCGCACGCGCGCUACACUGUUCGACGCAGCGAGUCUUAACCUUGACCGAAAGGUUUGGGUAAUCUUCAGCAAAGUCGAACGUGAUGGGGAUCGAUCAUUGCAAUUAUUGAUCGUGAACGAGGAAUUCCUAGUAAGUGCAAGUCAUCAGCUUGCGCUGAUUACGUCCCUGCCCUUUGUACACACCGCCCGUCGCUGCAACUGAUUGGGUGACCUGGUGAACAUCUUGGACCGGUCCACUCAAUUUCGAGAGGACUGGAAAAGGCCGUAAAUCAGGUACAUCUAGAAAUUGCAAAAGUCGUAACA